rnacentral:rRNA from 1 species
UUGUGGGGUGCUCGAGUGGCGAACGGGUGAGUAACACGUGAGUAACCUGCCCUUGACUUUGGGAUAACUUCAGGAAACUGGGGCUAAUACCGGAUAGGAGCUCCUGCUGCAUGGUGGGGGUUGGAAAGUUUCGGCGGUUGGGGAUGGACUCGCGGCUUAUCAGCUUGUUGGUGGGGUAGUGGCUUACCAAGGCUUUGACGGGUAGCCGGCCUGAGAGGGUGACCGGCCACAUUGGGACUGAGAUACGGCCCAG